GUGCUACAAUUUGAAGGAAGCCAAUCACUUAUCCAUCUAAUUUAUGGAAGAUCUUGAUGUGAAGGGCUCUUUGUAGAUCCCAUCAGAGCUACCCAGCCAUUCUGACACAUGUGAGUUGACAUCUCAUUGUGCUUUCGACCUGCAUUUCCCUGAUGAUUAGCUAUGUUGAACAUCUUUUCACAUAUGCCUGUUGGCCAUCUGCGUAUUGCAACCUGCAUCCGCCCUCCUUCGGCAGGAAUUCCUGUCCUAAGCCCGCACCUGGGGGAUAUGGAAAUUCCAGGCUGAGGGUUGAAUCAGAGCUGCAGCUACUGGCCUGCACCACAGCCACGGCAAUGUGGGAUCUGAGCCGCUCUGCAACCUGCACCACAACUUGCAGCAAUGUUGGAUCCUUAACCCACUGAGAGAGGCCAGGGAUGGAACCUGCAUCCUCAUGGAUACUAGUUGGGUUCCUAACCCACUGAGGCACAACAGGAACUUCAAUGUGCAAAUCUUUUUUAUACUUUAAUUUCUUUGGGGUAAAUACUUAGAAGUGGGAUGGCUGCAUCAUAUAGUAGAUGUAUUUUUAACUUUUUAUGAAACUGCCAAUCUCUUUUACAAAGUGUUUUUAUCAUUUUACCUUCCUUUUUUAAUUUUAAUUUUAAAAAUUUUAUUGGAAUAUAGUUAACUGAUAAAGUUGUGUUAAUUUCAGGUGUACAGUAAAGUCAGUUGUCAUAUACAUAUAUCCAUUCCUUUUCAGGUUCUUUUCUCAUAUAUAUUAUCACACAGUACUGAGUAAAUUUCCCUGUGCCAUGCAGGAGGUCCACAUUACCUGUCUAUUCUAUAUAUAGUAAAGUGUAUAUAUCAGUUCCAACCUCACCCCAACCACAUUUCCCCUUUGGUAAACAUGAGUUUGGUUUCAAAAAUCUUUGACUGUGUUUCUGUUUUGUAAGUUCUAUUGUGUCAUUUCUAUUAGAUUCCACAUAUUAGUGAUCUCAUAUAUUUGUUGUUCUCUUUCUAACUUAAUUCACUUAGUAUAAUUAUUUCUAGGUCCAUUGUGCUGCUGCAAAUGGCAUUAUUUCAUGCAUCUGAUGGCUGAGUAAUAUUCCAUUGCAUAAAUGUAUCACAUCUUCUUCAUCCAUUCCUCUGUUGAUGGACAUUUUGGUUGCUUCCAUGUCUUGGCUAUUAUAAAUAGUGCUGCUGUGAACAUAGGGGUGCACACAAAUUUUCAAAUUAUGGUUUUAUCUGGAUAUAUGCCAAAGAGUGGGAUUGCUGGAUCAUAUGGUAGUUCUAUAUUUAGUUUUUAAAGGAACCUCCAUACUGUUCUCCAUAGUGGUUGCACCAACUUGCACUCCCACUGACAGUGUAGGAGGGUUCCCUUUUCUCCACACCUUCUCCAGCAUUUAUUUAUAGUUUUUUUUUAAAACAUACAUUCUUUUUUUAUAUUCUUUUCCAUCAUGGGCUAUCCCAGGAGACUGGAUAUAGUUCCCUGUGCUGUAUAGUAAGACCUUGUUGUUUAUCUGUUCAAAGUGUAAUGGUUCGAGUCUACUAACCCCAUACUCCCAAUCUAUCCCACUCCCCCCCACCCCCAUAUUUGUAGAUUUUUUUUUUGAUGAUGGCUAUUCUGACUUGUAUCUGGUGAUUCCUCAUUGUAGUUUUGAUUUGCAUUUCUUUAAUAAUUAAUAAUGUUGAGCAUCUUUUCAUGUUUUGUUUUGUUUUUUUUUCUGCCAUCUGUCUGUCUGCUUUGGAGAAAUGUCUGUUUAGAGCUUCUUUGGUUGCCUGUUUUUCUGAUAUAAAGCUGUAUGAGAUGUUUGUAUAUUUUGGAGAUUAAUCCCUUGUCAGUUGUUUCAUUUGCAAAAAUUUUUUUCCCCUUCUGUGGGCUGUCUUUUUAUUAAUGGUUUCCUCUGUUGUGCCAAAGAUGAGAGUUCAAAGUGCUCCACAUCCUUGAAAGAGUUUUUAUGGUCAUUCUUUGUUUUUUAAAAUUUUAUUGAUGUAUAGUUGACUUGCAGUGUUGUGUUAAUUGGUCGGUCUUUUAGUUUUCAAGUUUCUAACAGUGGAUAGUGGAGUCUUAUUGUGUUUUAAUUUGCAUUUACCUGAUGUCUAAUGGCUAUUGACUGAUGGGUUCCUCAUGGUGACAGUGUAUUUGCCAUCAUAUAUCUUUUUUUGGGCAAUAUCCAUUGAAGUGUUUGGUCCAUUUUGAAAUUGUAAAGUUUGUUACUGUUAUUUUUUAUUGUUUUAGACUUUAUAUAUUCUGGAUGUAGUUUCAUUGACUUUUCUCUAAUGGCCUCCUGUUAUCUAUUUCAUUGAUUUCAAUCUAAUUUUUAUUACUUCUUCCUUG
rnacentral:lncRNA from 1 species